rnacentral:ncRNA from 24 species
UAUAUUUGCAAAGAAUUUGGUUCCCGAAUUUUUUCGGGAUUAAAAGGGAACGGAGUGUAAUUCUCCGACUGUCCCCGCAACUGUAAAUCGCUUAAAAGGGUUUUGUAAUCUCGCCAUUGUUCACAUUUUGUGAAUGAGAAGGCACAAAAUCAGCGAAAGUCAGGAGACCUGCCAAAAAUUAUUUUGAAUAA